rnacentral:rRNA from 1 species
GUUGUUGCAGUUAAAAAGCUCGUAGUUGGAUUUCUGGUGGGAGCGGUCGGUCCGCCGCCAGGUGUGUACUUGGUUGUCUCCUGUCAUCCUUGUGGGAACUGCUCUGGCAUUAAUUAGUCGGGGUUACGGAACACAUCCUUUACUGUGAAAAAAUUAGAGUGUUUAUAGCAGGCUUAUGCCGUUGAAUACAUAAUCAUGGAAUAAUAAGAUAGGACUUAGGCGUCUAUUUUGUUGGUUUGCACACCAACGUAAUGAUUAAUAGGGAUAGUUGGGGGUAUUCGUAUUUAAUCGUCAGAGGUGAAAUUCUUGGAUUUAUGAAAGACGAACUUCUGCUAAAACAUUUACCAAAGAUGUUUUCAUUAAUCAUCAACGAAAGUUAGGGGAUCGAAGAUGAUUAUAUACCAUCGUAGUCUUAUCCAUAAACUAUGCCGACUACGGAUUGGCGGUCGUUCAUUUAUGACUCCCUCAGCACCUUAUGAGAAAUCAAAGUCU